UACGUAGGGUGCAAGCGUUGUCCGGAAUUACUGGGCGUAAAGGGCGCGUAGGCGGCCCGCUAAGUCGAACGUGAAAUCCCCAGGCUCAACCUGGGAACUGCGUCCGAUACUGGCAGGCUUGAAUCCGGGAGAGGGAUGUGGAAUUCCAGGUGUAGCGGUGAAAUGCGCAGAUAUCGGGAGGAACACCGGUGGCGAAGGCGGUUCUCUGGGCCUGACCUGACGCUGAGGAGCGAAAGCGUGGGGAGCGAACAGG
rnacentral:rRNA from 1 species